GGAGGAAGCAGGUUGAUAGUCGAAGGUGAACGGGUGUUUCAAGCUGGUUAGCUUGCUUCUUGUCGGAGUUCAAACCGUGCACGAGGACGGCUUUACCAUAUUUGCGACUUGUUUGAAGUCAUCAUCACCUAGAGCUGAUCCACACAAAAUUUCCAUCCGCACCAGACUUUCCUUUGAAAAGUGGUCUUUUCAGUGUUCGUGCAAAGCUGGAAUGGGAAAAUGCAAACACAUAAUGGCCGUUUUAAAACAUCUUCUAAUGUUCCCUUCAGUUCCAUUGCUUACAGUAACAGAUUUGCAACAAAAGUGUCUAUUGCGUCCUCAGUAUAAUCACAGAUCGACAUUUGGCUGUCCUCCAUAUAAUGAUUCAGAUCUGGUUUAAAUUCAUUCCGCCUGGCUGCUCGUUCUGCGCGAUUUUUAGCUGCUAUUUCUCUCACUGUGUUACAAAUUGGUUUAGUAUUUUAUAAUGCAACAGAAAAACACUACUUACUAGGAACAACAAAGUUUGUAAUGCUAAAAUGUAAGCUGCAAGCUUUCGACGACGGAGAUGGCUCAUAAUUCAGUCGCAAUUUUGUCAACCAAACCUUAUACCGUUUUCUAUCCGCCUUCGGGGGAAAGUUGUGGAAUGAAUAUCCUUGGCCAUUCCGUGUACGACAUCCAGGAACUAUAC